rnacentral:rRNA from 1 species
AGAGUUUGAUCCUGGCUCAGAACGUACGCUGGCGGCACGCCUAACACAUGCAAGUCGAACGAAGUAGCAAUACUUAGUGGCAGACGGGUGAGUAACAUGUAGGUAUCUGCCCUUUGGCCUGGAAUAACACGAGGAAACUUGUGCUAAUACCGGAUAAGUCUCUACGGAGAAAGCUUUAUGCACCAUUGGAUGAGCCUGCACUUGAUUAGUUUGUUGGUGGGGUAAUGGCCUACCAAGACUGUGAUCAAUAGCUGAUUUGAGAGGAUGAUCAGCCACAUUGGGACUGAGACACGGCCCAAACUCCUACGGGGGGCAGCAGUGGGGAAUCUUGCACAAUGGAGGAAACUCUGAUGCAGCGAUGCCGCGUGAGUGAAGAAGGCCUUUGGGUUGUAAAGCUCUUUCGUCGGGGAAGAAAAUGACUGUACCCGAAUAAGAAGGUCCGGCUAACUUCGUGCCAGCAGCCGCGGUAAUACGAAGGGACCUAGCGUAGUUCGGAAUUACUGGGCUUAAAGAGUUCGUAGGUGGUUGAAAAAGUUGGUGGUGAAAUCCCAGAGCUUAACUCUGGAACUGCCAUCAAAACUUUUCAGCUAGAGUAUGAUAGAGGAAAGCAGAAUUUCUAGUGUAGAGGUGAAAUUCGUAGAUAUUAGAAAGAAUACCAAUUGCGAAGGCAGCUUUCUGGAUCAUUACUGACGCUGAGGAACGAAAGCAUGGGUAGCGAAGAGGAUUAGAUACCCUCGUAGUCCAUGCCGUAAACGAUGUGUGUUAGACGUUGGAAAUUUAUUUUCAGUGUCGCAGCGAAAGCGAUAAACACACCGCCUGGGGAGUACGACCGCAAGGUUAAAACUCAAAUGAAUUGACGGGGACCCGCACAAGUAGUGGAGCAUGUGGUUUAAUUCGAAGAUACGCGCAGAACCUUACCAACACUUGACAUGUUCGUCGCGACUUUAAGAGAUUAAAGUUUUCGGUUCGGCCGGACGAAACACAGGUGCUGCAUGGCUGUCGUCAGCUCGUGUCGUGAGAUGUUGGGUUAAGUCCCGCAACGAGCGCAACCCUCACUUUUAGUUGCCAUCAUUAAGUUGGGCACUCUGAAAGAACUGCCAGUGAUAAGCUGGAGGAAGGUGGGGAUGACGUCAAGUCCUCAUGGCCCUUACGUGUUGGGCUACACACGUGCUACAAUGGUAUCUACAACAGGAAGCAAAACUGCGAAGUUAAGCAAAUCCUUAAAAGAUACCUCAGUUCGGAUUGCACUCUGCAACUCGAGUGCAUGAAGCUGGAAUUACUAGUAAUCGUGGAUCAGCGUGCCACGGUGAAUGCGUUCCCGGGUCUUGUACACACCGCCCGU